rnacentral:rRNA from 1 species
GAUGAACGCUGGCGGCGUGCCUAAUACAUGCAAGUCGAGCGAACAGACGAGAGUGCUUGCACUCUCUGACGUUAGCGGCGGACGGGUGAAUAACACGUGGGUAACCUACCUAUAAGACUGGGAUAACUUCGGGAAACCGGAGCUAAUACCGGAUAAUAUUUAGCUUCGCAUGAAGCAAUAGUGAAAGACGGUUCUGCUGUCACUUAUAGAUGGACCCGCGGUGUAUUAGCUAGUUGGUGAGGUAACGGCUCACCAAGGCAACGAUACAUAGCCGACCUGAGAGGGUGAUCGGCCACACUGGGACUGAGACACGGCCCAGACUCCUACGGGAGGCAGCAGUAGGGAAUCUUCCGCAAUGGACGAAAGUCUGACGGAGCAAUGCCGCGUGAGUGAAGAAGGUUUUCGGAUCGUAAAACUCUGUUGUAAGGGAAGAACAAGUACGUUAGUAACUGAACGUACCUUGACGGUACCUUACCAGAAAGCCACGGCUAACUACGUG